AAUCAACGCUGGCGGCGUGCCUAACACAUGCAAGUCGCACGAGAAAGGGACUUCGGUCCUGAGUACAGUGGCGCACGGGUGAGUAACACGUGAAUAAUCUACCUCCGAGUGGGGAAUAACUGAGAGAAAUCUUAGCUAAUACCGCAUAACACUUACGAGUCAAAGCAGCAAUGCGCUUGGAGAGGAGUUCGCGGCAGAUUAGUUAGUUGGCAGGGUAAUGGCCUACCAAGACGAUGAUCUGUAUCCGGCCUGAGAGGGCGCACGGACACACUGGAACUGAAACACGGUCCAGACUCCUACGGGAGGCAGCAGUGGGGAAUUUUGCGCAAUGGGGGAAACCCUGACGCAGCAACGCCGCGUGGAGGAUGAAAUCCCUUGGGAUGUAAACUCCUUUCGAUCGGGAAGAUAAUGACGGUACCGAGAGAAGAAGCCCCGGCUAACUUCGUGCCAGCCGCCGCCGUAAC
rnacentral:rRNA from 1 species